rnacentral:sRNA from 1 species
CCUGUUUGUGGGCCAGUUGAAAAGUUGUCUCAAGUGCCAGGCCUGUGGGUAUCGCUCCACGACCUUCGAGGUUUUUUGUGACCUGUCCCUGCCCAUCCCCAAGAAAGGAUUUGCUGGGGGCAAGGUGUCUCUGCGGGAUUGUUUCAACCUUUUCACUAAGGAAGAAGAGCUAGAGUCGGAGAAUGCCCCAGUGUGUGACCGAUGUCGGCAGAAAACUCGAAGUACCAAAAAGUUGACAGUACAAAGAUUCCCUCGAAUCCUCGUGCUCCAUAUCCUAAUCUUCAGAUUCUUACUUCUCUUAGGAUACCUCCCAUACAUUCUCUUUCCUCCAUGUUUCCAGAGAAUUGAAUUUUCCUUAGGAAAAGUCUGCCACCCACUUUUCCACAAGAUGCUCCCAGUGUGUCGGGAGUGGGGAGAGGACAGCUUUCAGGAUAGAAGAAGUUCCCCUCAGAGGCCCACUGCCUCCCAAAUGCUCCUUAACCAGGGCUUAGAUCUGAAUCGAUUUUCUGCCUCCCGAGGCUCCAUCAAAAAAAGUUCAGUAGGUGUAGACUUUCCACUGCAGCGACUGAGCCUAGGGGACUUUGCCAGUGACAAAGCCGGAAGUCCUGUAUACCAGCUGUAUGCCCUUUGCAACCACUCAGGCAGCGUCCACUAUGGCCACUACACAGCCCUGUGCCGGUGCCAGACUGGUUGGCAUGUCUACAAUGACUCUCGUGUCUCCCCUGUCAGUGAAAACCAGGUGGCAUCCAGCGAGGGCUACGUGCUGUUCUACCAACUGAUGCAGGAGCCACCCCGGUGCCUGUGACACCUCUAAGCUCUGGCACCUGUGAAGCCCUUUAAACACCCUUAAGCCCCAGGCUCCC